GGGGUUGACCGGAUUUGACGGCAAGAUGAGAUGGUACGUAAGCACGCGGAGCCUCGUUGGCUAUCUCCUAAAACAGAGUGAACACAAAAUUAAUUGGCAACAAUGAGUAUGCUCUCGCUGCCUAAUCGAAGUAUAGUAGAUUACUGGCUUUAUUCCGUCACCAGGUGAUGGAACGAGACGUCGCCCCAAGGGUGUUGUUCCGAAUCCAAGGAUCAGGCGGCGCAGACAAAUCGGAAAUAGUCCGGUCGGGCCUCGACGGCCGUAUGAAGUUUUAGAGGAUAAGGGUGUGGUUGGUGGUCCAGGUCUUGCCGCAUCACGAAAAUGAAGUCUGGAAUAAGCGUGUAGAAAGCGUAUGGUUUCCUUGUUCGGACGAGGGUUCGACUCCCUCCAGCUCCACU
rnacentral:tmRNA from 1 species